CUUACUAUGUGCUGGGCACUGGACUAAAGGUCGUGGUCUACGCCAUCUCAUGCGGUCCUCAGGACAAUUCUGUGAGAAGAUGUGGAAACGCGGGCCUCACGGGUUCAAUAGCCAACAGACACUCAGUUCCGCAGCCAUCAAGAGGAAGACCAGGUAAAAACAACAGCCACAGCUGAGCUCCACAGAUGACCUGGUGUAAGCCUCAGUCGCCUUAUGAGGUGGGCAAGCACUUUCCCCCCAUUCAACAGAUGAAAAACCUGACUUCAGAGAAGCUAAUACCCUGGAUCCAGGUUCCAGCAAGUGGCUGAGCCAGGCCCAUGACACUAAACCUGUCCUUCGCUUACAGCCUCCUAGGGGAGGAGAGAGAAAACAGAAGCGGGAAAAGGCCAAUUGAGAGGGAGAAAGUUCUGGAGCAGGACUGCAAGGCGACCUUGGCUUCCUGGCCCCUGAUGGCUGUAUUUGCAGGUGCAUCACACACCCUUCUCAGCCUCUGCUCCCUGCACUGAACAUGCUGGAACUCCAACCACACCUCACCUGCCACCUUCCUACCAGACACUUCUAUUUGCCCUUCUCCCACUUUUGCCCAGGGGCCAGUUUCAGCUGCUCACUUUCCAAAGGAUCACUUGAGCAGCACCUCCAUCUACACAGACUGCAGAAGGCCCAACUGAAUGCAGGCUGGAUGCAGCCUGGGCUGCACCUUAGAAUCACCUGGGAAACUUUUACAAGCCACAGGUGUCUAGGCCCCGCCCCAGGCCCAUUAAGUCACAUUCCUUGGACUUGGGCUCUGGUAUAUUUAGGGGUGCAGGGGAGUGGUCUGGUAUAUUUUAAAAGCUUCCCUAGUGAUUAUUCUGCACAGAGGACUCAAAGCCACCCCAUUUCCGGAGACAGGUUCACAUGAAAAAGUUGAAUAGCAACAUUCGGCAUCAUCUACACACAUUAAGAUUCAGAUUCCUCGAGAGUCACACCUGGGCGCUGGCGACUCCCUCCUGAAGGCCACCCCGAGGGAGUCCAGGAGAAAGAGGAAGGAGACUCCAGAGGAGGAGAGGAUGGGAAGGAUGGAGAGCAGCCCCUCCCACCUCUUCCCAGUGGCUCCACCCCUCUUCCUCAAAGAGCAUGGGUGUUCCCUGCCCGCCUCCAAGAAGCUCCUGCUUUCACCACCGCGAGAAAUCCCUCCGUCUAGCGCAUCCAACUGGGAACUGCACUCCGGAGGACAAUGCUUGGCUCCCCUUGGCACGGGUAUUGUGCCUGUACCCCUGGGCCGGCCUUGAUGCACAGUGAACCUCUGUCUUGGGAGACCCACGCUCUCUUUCCUCCCCUCUCCUUGUGAUGAUGAAAGUGUGCCUUCAGGCCAAUGGUGGCUCGAGCCUGUAAUCCCAGCACUUUGAGAGGUAGAGGCAAGAGGAUCGCUUGAGCCCCGGAGUCCAAGACCAGCGCGGCCAACAUAGCGAGACCCCAUCUCUACAAAAAAAUUAAAAGUGUGCCUUUACCUCCUCCCAUGUGAAGAGCAGGUAAGGGGUAGACUUUUGGCCCCGUUUUAUAGAGAGAAACUGAGGCUCACAAGGAAAAACAAUCUGUGGACAGGGAUACACCAGGAAGUUCCAAGCUGAGGGUAAAUUACCCUAGAGAUCUGCAAAAGUUCAACUGAUGGCUGCCAUGGAGGAAGUGGGUCCAGAUGGGGAACAGGGCCAUCUCCGCCUUCAAAACAACCCCAAACAGGGCUUGGAAUAAGAUCGACCAUAGGCCAGGCUCGGUGGCUCACACCUGUAAUCCUAGCACUUUGGAAGUCCGAGGCAGGCAAAUCACAAGGUCAGGAGUUCGAGACCAGCUUGGCCAACAUGGUGAAACCCUGUCUCUAAAAAAAAAAAAAAAAAAAAAAAAUCGACCAAAGACCCCCCCUGAUAUUUCCCCAGCUUCUUGGCCAAGCAGGGGAUGAGGUCAGGGUCUGUCUCUGUGGGACGAAGAUUAAGGACUGGGGUCUGUGCAUGCCUGUGCGUAUGGCCCUUGCCACCCCCAUUCAACCAAGAACAUCAAUUUGCAUCUGAAACUGUUCUAUAGGUAUGCCAGAGCAGCCUCCUAGGCGGCAUCUCUUCACCCCCAGCGCAAAUGGUGAGAUUUGGGUGACUCCAUCCCCCAAACACAGAACCUGGCGAGGUCUGUGUUAAAAUGUAAAUUCAGGAGUCAUAAAUAUUUUUAAAGUUGUAAUACAAGAAACAGAUUGUCCGGGGGCCAAAAGGAUGACCUUUUACAUGCAAAUGAAAAUAAUGGAUCUUUAAACGCAGUUAUUGUCAGGAUGAUGAGCUGACUAAGACUGGAGGAAAAGAGGCCUCCUGGGUGGGCGCCAGCGUGGGAUAAAGAAAAGACAACCAGAGCAGAGAUGAAAAAGACCGAAAGGGGAUGCAAGCACCCAGGAGAGUGGACUGAGAAGUUCUAGGGGCAAGCCGGCGUGCAGAAAGAGGACCAGAUUCCUGGGGUCAGUAACUAAGGAUGACAAUGGAGGACCCCAAGGGGCCCUCUGGGACAAAAAUAGGACUGGGAUGCACUAUCUCAGAAACUGGAUGCAGGAGCUCAAGGAAAACACCUUAGCACCGGGGUUUCCAUGUCCCCAGCACUUCUCACGCUCAGUGUUUUAACUCUCAUUUCCAGACAAUGUAAUAACAUAGCGGGUACUGGGGGUGUGGUCCCUGUCCUCAUGACGUUUACAAA
rnacentral:lncRNA from 10 species